GGCAGCGGGCUCACAGCAGGCCAUGCACGCUGCGAUCACCCCGGCGGGCCUUGCACGCUCACCGACAAGUGUGCAAGGGCACGCUGCGCCCAGCCAGCCUCGCACGCUCACCUCCGCACGCUCGGACACGGGGAGCUUUGCACGCUCAGCUCUGUGACCCUAAGGCCUCGCACGCGCCUCGCAGCAGGCCAUGCACGCUGCGAUCACCCCGGCGGGCCUUGCACGCUCACCGACAAGUGUGCAAGGGCACGCUGCGCCCAGCCAGCCUCGCACGCUCACCUCCGCACGCUCGGACACGGGGAGCUUUGCACGCUCAGCUCUGUGACCCUAAGGCCUCGCACGCGCCUCGCACACGCAACCCAACCACCUUGCACGCUCAGCUCCCCGCGUGCACGCACUGGAGCUGUGCACACUCAGUGCACAGUGCACGAAGCUUGCACUCUCCCCUCCAGUUGUGCAAGCUCACACUGCACCUGGGAGCUUUGCACACACACCACUACAGCCUUGCACGUUCACCUGGAAUUGUGCAAGCUCACACUUUGCUGGGAGCCUCGCACACAGCUCUACAGCAUCACACACUCAUCUCCAGCAGUGCACGGCCUCAGAGCUGUGCACACUCACCUCUGCUCGUGCAAACUGACCCCUCACCUCAGAGCUUCGCGCCCUCCAGCCUUGCACGCUCACCAGCAGCCGUGCACGCUCAGCCCUGGAGCUUUGCACGCUCCCUGCAGGCCGUGCCCCCCCUUGCAGCCAUUCACACGCACGUUGCACACCCGGUGCCUCCUCAGCCCUCAGCCCCGGCCCUUUGCACGCUCAUUGCACGCUCAUCGCGCUCCCCUGUGCACGCACCUCCCUCCACCUGUGCACAAUCACUGCACGCCCCGAGAGCCUUGCACACCCGCUGUCAGCCUUGAACGCUCACUCCCCGCCUUGCACGCUCAGUGCCAGCCGUGCACGCUGCCUGCAAUCCCUGCUCUCUCCGUCACCCCGAGAGCCUUGCACGCUCACUGCCAGCCUUGCACGCUCACCUCCAGGUGUGCACGCUCCAUAGCAACCGUGCACGCUCAGCACCAGCUGUGCACGCUCCCCGCGAGCCCUGCACGCUCCCCCCACUCCCUGCCCUUGCACACUCACCGGCCCCUUUGCACACUCGCCGGCCCCUUUGCACACCCCCCACCCUCCGUGCACACUCCCGGGCCCCCCAGCGGCACGCCCGCUCCGCCCGCUCUUUGCACACGCGCCGCUCUAUUUGCACACUCGCCCCCCCUCUUUGCACACCCCCGCU
rnacentral:lncRNA from 1 species